UACGGGGGGGGCAAGCGUUGUUCGGAAUUACUGGGCGUAAAGGGCUCGUAGGCGGCCAACUAAGUCAGACGUGAAAUCCCUCGGCUUAACCGGGGAAUGGCGUCUGAUACUGGAUGGCUUGAAUCCGGGAGAGGGAUGCGGAAUUCCAGGUGUAGCGGUGAAAUGCGUAGAUAUCUGGAGGAACACCGGUGGCGAAGGCGGCAUCCUGGACCGGCAUUGACGCUGAGGAGCGAAAGCCAGGGGAGCAGACGGG
rnacentral:rRNA from 1 species